AUUGAACGCUGGCGGCAUGCCUUACACAUGCAAGUCGAACGGCAGCACGGGGGCAACCCUGGUGGCGAGUGGCGAACGGGUGAGUAAUACAUCGGAACGUGUCCCGUCGUGGGGGAUAACCAGUCGACAGACUGGCUAAUACCGCCUGAGAUCGAGAGAUGAAAGCGGGGGACCGCAAGGCCUCGCGCGAUGGGAGCGGCCGAUGCCGGAUUAGCUAGUUGGCGGGGUAAAAGCCCACCAAGGCGACGAUCCGUAGCUGGUUUGAGAGAACGACCAGCCACACUGGGACUGAGACACGGCCCAGACUCCUACGGGAGGCAGCAGUGGGGAAUUUUGGACAAUGGGCGCAAGCCUGAUCCAGCCAUGCCGCGUGUGUGAAGAAGGCCUUCGGGUUGUAAAGCACUUUCGGACGGAACGAAAUCGCGCGGGCGAAUACCCCGCGUGGAUGACGGUACCGUAAGAAGAAGCACCGGCUAACUACGUGCCAGCCGCCGCGGUAA
rnacentral:rRNA from 1 species